AACGAACGCUGGCGGCAUGCCUAACACAUGCAAGUCGAACGAACCCUUCGGGGUUAGUGGCGCACGGGUGCGUAACGCGUGGGGAUCUGCCCAAAGGUUCGGAAUAACUCAGAGAAAUUUGAGCUAAUACCGGAUAAUGUCUUCGGACCAAAGAUUUAUUGCCUUUGGAUGAACCCGCGUAGGAUUAGCUUGUUGGUGGGGUAAAGGCCUACCAAGGCGACGAUCCUUAGCCGGUCUGAGAGGAUGAUCAGCCACACUGGGACUGAGACACGGCCCAGACUCCUACGGGAGGCAGCAGUGGGGAAUAUUGGACAAUGGGCGAAAGCCUGAUCCAGCAAUGCCGCGUGAGUGAUGAAGGCCUUAGGGUUGUAAAGCUCUUUUACCAGGGAUGAUAAUGACAGUACCUGGAGAAUAAGCUCCGGCUAACUCCGUGCCAGCAGCCGCGGUAAAGUAU
rnacentral:rRNA from 1 species